AGCAGCCGCGGUAAUUCCAGCUCCAAUAGCGUAUAUUAAAGUUGUUGCAGUUAAAAAGCUCGUAGUUGAAUUUCGGGGUCAGCAGGUUGGUCGUGCCACUGGUAUGAACUGGUCUCGCUGAUUCCUCCUUUCUGAAGAACUGUAAUGUCAUUAAUUUGGUGUUGCAGGGAAACAGGACUGUUACUUUGAAAAAAUUAGAGUGUUUAAAGCAGGCAAUUGCUUGAAUACAUUAGCAUGGAAUAAUGAAAUAGGACGUUCAAACCUAUUUUGUUGGUUUCUAGGAUUGACGUAAUGAUUAAUAGGGAUAGUUGGG
rnacentral:rRNA from 1 species